UACGUAGGGUGCGAGCGUUGUCCGGAAUUACUGGGCGUAAAGAGCUCGUAGGUGGUUUGUCGCGUUGUCCGUGAAAACUCACAACUCAAUUGUGGGCGUGCGGGCGAUACGGGCAGACUGGAGUACUGCAGGGGAGACUGGAAUUCCUGGUGUAGCGGUGGAAUGCGCAGAUAUCAGGAGGAACACCUGUGGCGAAGGCGGCCGACUGGGCCGACCCUGACGCUGAGGCGCGAAGGCGUGGGGAGCAAACAGG
rnacentral:rRNA from 1 species